rnacentral:rRNA from 1 species
AUACGUAGGGGGCAAGCGUUAUCCGGAAUUACUGGGUGUAAAGGGAGCGUAGACGGUGAUGCAAGUCUGAAGUGAAAUGCGGGGGCUCAACCCCUGAACUGCUUUGGAAACUGUAUGACUUGAGUACCGGAGGGGUAAGCGGAAUUCCUAGUAUAGCGGUGAAAUGCGUAGAUAUUCGGAGGAACACCGGUGGCGAAGGCAGGCAUCUGGCCGGAGACUGACGCUGAGGCGCGAAGGCGCGGGGAGCGAACAGGUUUAGAUACCCUGGUAGUCCGCGCAGUAAACGAUGCGCACCAGGUGUCGGGCGGCAGCGCCCGGUACCGGAGCUAACGCGAUGAGUGCGCCGCCUGGGGAGUAUGCCCGCAAGGGUGAAACUAAAAGGAAUUGACGGGG